rnacentral:rRNA from 1 species
GACGAACGCUGGCGGCGUGCCUAAUACAUGCAAGUUGAGCGAUGAAGAUUGGUGCUUGCACCAAUUUGAAGAGCAGCGAACGGGUGAGUAACGCGUGGGGAAUCUGCCUUUGAGCGGGGGACAACAUUUGGAAACGAAUGCUAAUACCGCAUAACAACUUUAAACAUAAGUUUUAAGUUUGAAAGAUGCAAUUGCAUCACUCAAAGAUGAUCCCGCGUUGUAUUAGCUAGUUGGUGAGGUAAAGGCUCACCAAGGCGAUGAUACAUAGCCGACCUGAGAGGGUGAGCAGCCAGAUUGGGAGUGCGACACGGCCCAAAGUCCUACGGAAAGCAGCAGUAGGGAGUCUUCAGGAAUGGACGAAAGUCUGACCAAGCAACGCGGCGUGAGUGAAGAAGGUUGUCGGAUCGUAAAACACUGUUGGUAGGGAAGAACGUUGGUGAGAGUGGAAAGCACAUCAAGUGACGGUAACUACCCAGAAAGGGACGGCUAACUACGUG